GUGCUGGGAUUACAGAUAUUUGCCACCAUAACCACGAGGCCCAUUCAUUUCUUUUAGAGAUUUUCAUUAUUAGUGUGUGUGUGUGUGUGUGUUCGAGCGUGUGCACAUGCCCAUGGAGGCCAGAAGAGGGCAGUGUAUGCCCUGGAGCUGGAGUGGAUGCUGAGAACCAAACUCUGGUCUUCUGGAAGAGCCACAGAUGCUCUUCACCUCUGAGCCACUUAUGCAACUGCUUAUCUAUUAUUUCUAUUUGUUUAUUGUUUAAUGUACAGGAUUUUGCCUGUAUGUAUGCCUGGGUAAGGAUGCCAUAUCCCCCUGGUACUGGAUUUACAGUUGUGAACUGCCAUGUGACUACUGGGAAUUGAGCCACCAUGUGGUUGCUGGGAAUUGAACUCAGGACCUUUGGAAGAGCAGUCCAGUCAGUGCUCUUAACCACUGAGCCAUCUCUCUAGCCCAUCUCAGUAGCCCCCACCCCACCCCCCAUCUAUUCUUAAGACUAGUUCUUCUAGUUCUUACCAUGUAUCCUGGGCUGGCCUCAAACUCAGGCUCCUCCUUCCUCAACCUCCUGAGUGCAAGCAUAUGCCACCACAUCUACUUACCAGACUUGUCUUGACCACUAACUGGCUGGGUGUCUCUGAACAGGCCACAUGUGUGAGUGCUGAGGGUCCUCCCAUCCCUGACAGGGUUUGAAUUUUCGAGCAAAUGGGAAAAGGUACUGGGAGCAACAACAGAUUGCUGCUAAACACACUUGGUUCUUGGGUGCUGCCCCUCCCUAUCCUGGCCAACAUGGGAUUCCAGUCACAAAAGGACUUCAGGCCCAGGCCCAAUGAAGCUUCUGCCCGUGACAUCCGGCUCAGAAGAGCAGAGUGAUGCUCUUACUGGGUUCCUAAUUUGCGUCCCACUCACAGAGUGGCAGGGAAAAGAGAAGUCUGAAGUACAUGAAAACACGGGCUUCGGAGCUAGAGGAAGCUGGCCUUCUUAAAUACCGUCUCCCACUUCCAUGCUGUGACCUUGAUAAACCUAUUCAAGAUACCCACCUUGCUGAUUAGAAAAAAGAUUAAGAUGAAAUGGACUCGGCGCACCUGGUAGGCACUCCCCUUAAUGAUUACAACUGAAGAACUAUCUCAGAGGUUUCUGACCUAGGGCUAAAUUGCUUUCACUCUCUAAUGACUAAUGGAUUGGCGGGAUGGUCUAAGCUUUUGUCCUGGCCACCUGAACUGCUCAGCCCUGGGAGUCUUGACAAGCAAUUUCCUUGGAAUUAGCUUAAUAAUGCCUCGUAGGUGUGUGAUGCAUUUCAAAGAACUUUCCCAUCAUUAUCUUGGGUCCUAGCCGGCAGCUGGGCUCAGAGAGAAGUGGCUUGCUCCAGGUCACAUGGCACAUGAGCCUGCAGCUUUCCCUGGUGUUAACUUCUAAGUGAACAGAAGGCAGACUACUGUGGUAGAGUAAAAAAGGUCCCUCAGAACUGAGGCUCACUGGAGGCACAGUCUGUAGCCUGCAGUACUCAGCAAGUCCGGGAUUUUCACCCUCGAUGGGCUGUAUCCAGAGAACACAGCACAGCCUAACACACCAUCCAAGGUGGAGAUAACCAGUCUUAAGGUUAUUUGGGGCAAGGGUUUCUCACAUGGGAACUCCCGACCUCCAGAAGGUUGGAGGUCUGCUAUUACUCUUAAAAAAUUCAUGUGUGCCUUCGGAAGGAUGCUCAUAUCGUCCUUCAACUCAUCAGAGGAAAUCAGGACCCAGAUCAGGAUUAAAAACUAUUCAUCAGACUGUAGGAUGAUUGGCAAAGACAGAGGUUGCACCCCCCCCCUUUGACCCUGGUUCACCCCAAAAGGCUUACUAGGGUUAAUGCACAAAGGGUAAUGACAUGACCCUUUUGUUAUGAAAUAUUAGUAACUAUGCCAAGACCCAACACACAGAGAUCAUAUAAACAGGAAUUCAGUGAGGCCAGGAGCCUGGUGCAUCCCACCUGGGGAGGCACCGUGUUGGGGGUGAAUAGAUGGGACAUGGGCUGAUGUCUUUUUCUUUGCUGGCCAGUAAGAUCCUAGUCAUGCCCAACAAAAUCCUAGUCAGUUUUCUCAAACUCACAGGUCAAAGUUAAAAGUUUAGAGCUCGAAGGGAACGUGCAGCAUUGCUUCCCAGCUAGCCUGCAUCUCCGACAGAGGCUGAAGAUUUGAGAGACCCUGGUUUUGGUUUGGUUUUUCCAAUACAGGCUCUUACUAUGUAGCUCUGGUUGUCCUGGAACUCACUACCUACGUAGGCUUGCCUCAAAUUCAGAGAAAUGCCUAUCUCUGCCUCCCAAGUGCUGGAAUUAAAGGUGUGUUAUCGCUAUGCGCAGCAAUUGAGGGUUUUUUGGUUUUGGAAGUCUAGAAGGAAGCUAGACCAGAAAGCAUGAGGGAACUGAGACCAGGCCUGGCAGUCAGUUUAUUCAU
rnacentral:lncRNA from 1 species